UGUCUUUCUCUCCUCGCUCUGGCACUCGCGAUUUCUUCCGGGUCUGGCGAUGGUUACGUCAUUAAUGGUCAAGUGAAGAUUGAAGGUGUGGGUGCAAAAGGUUUUGGUCUUCCUGGAAAACUAUCCAACGUCAAAGUUAUGCUUAAUGGUGGCCAAAGCAUCACUUUUCUAAGGCCUGAUGGAUAUUUUUCGUUCUAUAACGUGUCAGCAGGGACUCAUUUAAUUGAAGUGGCU
rnacentral:misc_RNA from 1 species